rnacentral:tRNA from 1 species
GCGGGCGUAGCUCAGCCGGUAGAGCAUUUGCCUUCCAAGCAAACUGUCGCGAGUUCAAUUCUCGUCGCCCGCUCCA